UUCUCGGUUCCUCGCAACGAGGUCUGGUUUACUCGGUCAGGUUCGGAAGAAAGCAGCCAAAGUCGGAUUUUUCGUGUGCCGAGAUCAAGCUGGGAAGGU
rnacentral:SRP_RNA from 1 species